rnacentral:lncRNA from 1 species
UUAAUUUUAAUAUUCUGUCAGAAGCAAUUGACUUUACCCAUUUUCUCUCUUCUCCAAAACAUCCAGAAGCAUUUCCUUUAUGGUUUUUACAGCAACAUGUUAGGUGCAAGUCAAAGAUUCAGUGAAGUUUUAUUUCCUGUUGGCUGUUUCCUUUCUUUCCUGUUUCCAAAGUCACUUUGCUUUUAAUUUAUGAUUUCUAGCAGCCUGACGAGAGUACAAGAUAUGGGCUGCAGUUUUUAGGACCCGUGGGGGCUGAGCUUUUGGUACUUUCUGGUACAGGUUCCUGGCCUUGUUAUCAGGGUCUAUCACCUGAGGAAGCAUUUCCUGUGCCCCACCCUCCAUCAGAAGUGUGGUAUAGGAAAGAAGAGGAGAGACAAAAGCUAUGUUGAAACAGAAAGAAAAGUUGGAAAAUGAAGGAAUCAGUAAAGUCCAAACAUGAGAUACCAGUAAACUAGGGGACAUUUUUAAUUAAAAGAACUCUGAAGAAUCAAUAUUAUGAAAGUGAUUUGGUCAUCUGAACUUGUCAUGGAGGAAACCAAUCAGCUGCAAACAAACACUCUUCUUCAGAUGUCUGUGUGACUAAGAGCAGUUUGUUCUGUA